CAGGAUGAAAGGGAUGGCCAGUUAAACCAGAGCACAACUGCAGCUCCAGUUACUUCGCCGAGUACCUAAUAGUAGUCUACCACAAUACCACCAUACAUCUGCUCAGGAGUGAACAAGGGCUGUUGGACUGGUUAAUUUCCUGCUGUCCUCCAUGAGCAAAGCUGUUGCUGCUACAGACUGGACACGUUCAGGCCAUCCUUGGAUUAUGGGCCUAGAAUUUUUGACAAAAAGUCUAUGGGCUGCUGGUGGUCCAUAUGUUCUUGGCGUAAGAAGCAAGGCUGAAUGGAUGGUAGCAAUAAUCACGUGCUUUCAUUCUGUGGUCGGCAAGAGGAGGAAAGAAACAAAUGCUGAUGGGUUUAUUCUAUGACACUACAGCACCAAAAGAAAUCAUGCUAAAUCUAUUCAUUGUAUGCACUACAUGACAUCAUUCUAGAAAAACAGCAAAAUAGCUGGAAACCAAAGACGGGGAAUAAAAACGUCAACCAUCUGCCCAUUGAUCUGCAGCACCCUGGUGUCAGACCAGGCCUCCUCCCUUCAGCUCUCAGUUUUCUGUGCCAGUUAUGGAG